rnacentral:rRNA from 1 species
ACACUCCUGCGGGAGGCAGCAGUGGGGAAUAUUGGACAAUGGGCGCAAGCCUGAUCCAGCCAUGCCGCGUGAGUGAUGAAGGCCCUAGGGUUGUAAAGCUCUUUCACCGGUGAAGAUAAUGACGGUAACCGGAGAAGAAGCCCCGGCUAACUUCGUGCCAGCAGCCGCGGUAAUACGAAGGGGGCUAGCGUUGUUCGGAUUUACUGGGCGUAAAGCGCACGUAGGCGGACUAUUAAGUCAGGGGUGAAAUCCCGGGGCUCAACCCCGGAACUGCCUUUGAUACUGGUAGUCUUGAGUUCGAGAGAGGUGAGUGGAAUUCCGAGUGUAGAGGUGAAAUUCGUAGAUAUUCGGAGGAAAACCAGUGGCGAAGGCGGCUCACUGGCUCGAUACUGACGCUGAGGUGCGAAAGCGUGGGGGCAAACAGGAUUAGAAACCCGGGUAGUCCCAUGA